GAUGAAGAACGCAGCGAAAUGCCAUAAGUAAUGUGAAUUGCAGAAUUCAGUGAAUCAUCGAAUCUUUGAACGCACAUUGCGCCCCUUGGUAUUCCGAGGGGCAUGCCUGUUCGAGCGUCAUUUCAACCCUCAAGCACAGCUUGGUCUUGGGCUUCGCCGCUAACCCGGCGGGUCUUAAAAUCAGUGGCGGUGCCGUCGGGCCCUGAGCGCAGUAUCUCUCUCGCUAUAGGGUCCCGGCGGAUGCUGGCCAGUAACCCCCAAUUUUCUAUGGUUGACCUCGGAUCAGGUAGGGAUACCCGCUGAACUUAAGCAUAUCAAUAAGCGGAGGA
rnacentral:misc_RNA from 1 species